AGAGUUUGAUCAUGGCUCAGAGUGAACGCUGGCGGCGUGCUUAACACAUGCAAGUCGAACGAGAACGGAUUAUAGCUUGCUAUAAUUGUCAGCUAAGUGGCGCACGGGUGAGUAAUAUAUAGGUAACAUGCCCUAGAGAGGGGGGAUAACAGAUGGAAACGUCUGCUAACACCCCAUAUGCCUUUAAGACUAAAGUCUGCAAGGGAAACAUUUAUGGCUCUAGGAUUGGCCUGUACGGUAUCAGUUAGUUGGUGAGGUAAUGGCUCACCAAGACAAUGACACCUAACUGGUUUGAGAGGAUGAUCAGUCACACUGGAACUGAGACACGGUCCAGACUCCUACGGGAGGCAGCAGUGGGGAAUAUUGCACAAUGGACGAAAGUCUGAUGCAGCAACGCCGCGUGGAGGAUGACACAUUUCGGUGCGUAAACUCCUUUUAUAUAGGAAGAUAAUGACGGUACUAUAUGAAUAAGCACCGGCUAACUCCGUGCCAGCAGCCGCGGUAAUACGGAGGGUGCAAGCGUUACUCGGAAUUACUGGGCGUAAAGAGCGUGUAGGCGGGUAAAUAAGUUGGAAGUGAAAUCCUAUGGCUCAACCAUAGAACUGCUUCCAAAACUGUUAACCUAGAAUGUGGGAGAGGUAGAUGGAAUUUCUGGUGUAGGGGUAAAAUCCGUAGAUAUCAGAAGGAAUACCGAUUGCGAAGGCGAUCUACUGGAACAUAAUUGACGCUGAGACGCGAAAGCGUGGGGAGCAAACAGGAUUAGAUACCCUGCUAGUCCACGCCCUAAACGAUGUACACUAGUUGUUGUGAGGCUAGACCUUGCAGUAAUGCAGUUAACACAUUAAGUGUACCGCCUGGGGAGUACGGUCGCAAGAUUAAAACUCAAAGGAAUAGACCGGGACCCGCACAAGCCGUG
rnacentral:rRNA from 1 species